rnacentral:lncRNA from 1 species
CGAUCACAAGCGUCACAAUAAUUAUUAAUUUGAGGACAAGAAAUAAAUUGGGAAACAUUUUGGGGGGAAGGGUGACCUAAACAUUGAUGCCAUAUGUCAAAGGAAAUAUGACUAGAUGAUUGAAGAGCAGUUGCUGGAUUAUUCUGGAAGUAGUACAGCCCAUUACGCUCAACACCCACGCCAAUCAGCAUCUUCGUAUUUAGGUCCUGAAAAGUACAAAAAGGUGGGAAAAAGGAGACAACACAAGAGAGACUUUGUUAGUUGGCUGACAGAUAGCAAAUUAAAUUGAAAAUUUGGAACAGAUAAAACAUUUGAAAAUCUGAGAAAAGGUGACAAAUUAAUAUCACCCGAAUUAGACACUGUAGCAUGAGAACCUAUGGGGGAGAUACACAGAACGAGGGCAAGUGGCAUUAUUGGAAUGAUUUAAAAUUGAGGUAGUGAUGUGGUGUGUUGCACCACUAUCAAUGACCCAACAUUUGGAAUCAAGAACCUGUGAACGAGUGAUUUGGGGAUUUUAGAAGUUCCAUCAACUGGGUAAAUUGCUCGUGGGAGAAGCCAGGUGUGGUGCUACCGAUUGAGGGCGCGUCGGUGGAGGACUCUGAAUUGGUCGAAAUCUGCUGCACCACCGGUGAUAGAGGUCCCUGCCCAUUUCGUUUUCCCUUCGAUGGCCACCAUUCAGGGUACACUAUUAUCUCGAAACACCUUAAAUGAGGAAGUCCCGAUCUGCCACAUGCUUCGUAGAGAGAUGUUCCAGCCGGCCCAACAUGCCUUGGCCGAGAUGACGAUUUCUGUGCUGUUGAUGAACGGGUAAGCAAAGUUGAAAAUUUCAGUCGGGAGGCAGGUAAUUGGACGAGGCGUUGGGCUUCUUCUUGAUGGAGAAUGGCCUAGCAAUGCCCAAUUGAGAGAAGAGGGCCCAUGGCUAAGAUUUGGGACUGGAGUUGUUGGUAGCUGUCAUUCAAUCCCAUGAGAAACUGAUAUAUUCGGUACAAAUCAUGGAGUUCAGAUAAUGCUUUGGCUGCACCGCAAGUACAUGGGGUUGUGGGCUGGAGUGAAGCUAAUUUAUCCCAAAGUUCCUUCAAUCUUCCAUAAUAGACUGUGACAGAUUGUUGCUCUUAAUUGAGGUUGGCUAGUUCACGCUUCAAUCGAAAAUUUUAGGUUCGGUUACUUUGCUGAAAACGUGUUUCCAGUUCAAUCCAUAGGUCGUUAGGUGUUGCACAAUAGAUGAGGCUUGCGGCGAGAGAUCUAUCAAUGGAAUGAAGGAGCCACGACAUUAUCAUGUCGCAACAUCGAUCCCAGAGCUGUGCAGCAGUUGUAUCGGUGGUUGGACGUUUAAUGGUGCCGAGAACAAAACCAAUUUAUUUUUGGCAUUCAAGACACGAGUUACUGAUCUUCUCCAAGCAAGGUAAUUGUCCUCGUUAAGGACUGCAUCAACAAGUACUUGGUUGGGUUGGUCAGAUGAUGUAGAAAGUAAGGGGCUGAAGCAUCUGUAAGGGACUUAGUGACAUCCGGAAUAUGAGUAGCAGCUGAAUCAUCCAUGGUGCAGCCGUAGGGGUGUGAAUUUUCUAACUUAGUAGCUCUGAUACCAUGUUAGGUUUUCAUAUGAAUGAAGGAAAAUUUCAUUGUUCUUGAAUGAAUGUAUACAAGCAUUUUAUAGCACAAGUGAAAUAACCUAGGCUAAUUUAGGAAUGGAAAUCAUUAGAAUAAUUACAGUUGAGUGAUAAGGAAAACAAUAUUUCUCAAUAUGGUAUAACUCUUAAUACUCUAAAAAAAUCACUAUUUCAAAACUCAUUUUUCUCAAAAUACUCUUUUUAAUAGACAUCUAAUAGGGCUGAAUCUUAUGCUACGUAAUGAAAAAUAAAUCUACGAGAAAAUUAUGGAAUCGCAAUCCGCACCUUAUGUUAUAAAAUUCGAUGAACAUAUAUAUUAUUACAAGAAAAAAUUAAGGCCAUAAAUUUGUUUAAUAAAAAUAUCAUUCAUCUAAAUAAUAACAUAUAUGCGAUAUAAGAAUUCCUACAUCCAUUAGAUAAUUAGAAAUCAAUUCCUGAAACCAUUUUGUUUCGGUUUGGAUAAUAAAGUACCAUCCUAUAUUAAUAUGGGAUACAAAAUAUCAAAACUGGGUCCGUUGUCAAUGGGAGAAAACUAGAAUUAUAAAUUAUGUAUUUAAUCUAAUCAAAUAGUUAAGUGUUACAGUACACCAGCCCAUCAUGCAUGCUUUAAUCCUCUUACAAUCAACACAACCUCCAAAUUUUUAUACUCUUCAAGAACUUCAAGAAUACUACAUAUGUUAUCUAUAUAUUUUUUUUAGUGGGCGAGCACUAAUGAAUGAUUUUCAAUCGUUUAUAAUAUGUAGAAAUAUAUUAAUUUUUAAAAGAUAUAGUUGUAUCGAGACAAGGAUGUCUAGAUUCGUUGUAAUAAUUUUUUGUAAUUGCAAUAUCACAUAAUCUGUUCGUAUUAGUUCUAAAUAUUUUAUUGCGUAGUCCUCAUUAAAUUAUAAAUAUUGUAAUUUAAUAAAGAUCUUAUUUUGAAGUCGAAAGGACCUGAUCAGACACAAUUAAUUUAAGCUCCAACUAAUUAAUUCUUAUAUUACUCAACUCUCGACCAUUUGAAAUUAAUUAAUUAGUCUCGACUAUAUCCACUUAUGGUCAAAACUGCAUUUUUAAAUUAAUUAAAAUUAUCGAAACUUUUUAGUAAUUAAUUUCUUUUGACAUUUUGUUAACAAUUCGUCCCCACCAUAGUUAAAUUAAUUAUAAGUGACUGUUCUAACCAAUAAAUCACUUUUAAUUAUUUUUAUAUAAUAUCAUGCUUUCCAUUUUUCACUUGUGCAAUUUAUUGUAAUCGCAUCACAAUUAUUCAUUUAACAAUCUCAUUGUUAAAUUACUGAUAUCAGUCUAAAUUAUUCACUAGAAAAAAUAAUUGGGCUAAUGAUCCUAUAAAAAUAGGUGAUAGAGUUCGUGUUACAAAGAUAUGUUUGUUAAUUAGUUCAUUCUAAUUCUCAAAGAACUCGAAUUAAUAAUUAACGUGCAUAAUCUGUUCAAGAUCUAGACUUAUAUUUGACUAUCAGUAACAUUUGACUCUGUAUGAUCGCCGCAUUAUUAAACAUUACUUGAUCUUAUCCAAUGAUAAUAUUGUUUUUAUUUUUAUUACUAAAGUCUAAAUAAAUUUAAGUGAAGAUAAUACAUCAAACUAAAAUGUCCGUCUUUAUUUAAUAAUCGCAGAUAACAGUGUAUAAAAUUUUAGAAUGUAUAUCAAUUUUGGAAUUUAGGUAUCAAAAGAUUCAAAACUAUAAACUAGUUCGAAAUCACAUUAUUAAAAUUAAUUUCUACUUAUUCAAUGCAAAAUCAAUGUGUGUGUUCUUGUGUGUGAAAGCUCAUGUGAAGCAUUAUGAAUUCAUAGAGUGCUUUAAUUCCCGGCCUCAUUAGUCAAAUAUUUUCUUCAUUCGUAAGAUUCACAUCCAAACUUAUUCUUUCCACUCUUUUCCCAAGGUGUAAUCUAAAGCUGAAUUUUUAUAUAAUACUUAUCCUCGCCCUCUUUAAUUUGGUUCGAUUUUACUAAUUGUAGCUCAAUACAUCAACAAAUGGGAAUUCUUCUUAUUUUUUAUUACUUCAACCUCCAAGAAUCAAUUGAGUUAAUAACCCCUUACAAAAUGUCUAAUUCUCAAAAAUGAGUGUUUGAUACUUACAAAGCAUGUAGUGUGUUUUUGUUUCAUGCACCUGUUUUUUUAUAAAUAAUUUUCUUUUUAGCAUUUUAUAUACAGACUUCUUUCUAUUAAACUUUCUAAAUGAUCAUUGUAGCGAGUUUUAGGUCAAUAACCCCAAAUCAAAUGAGUAUAGAAUACUAGGUUUUAAGUACACUUGCAUGCUCAAUCACAUAAAUCAUAAAGGCUACGAAGAGAUGUUUUACAAUGAGAUAACUUCUUCUUUUUUUUAUGCAAUUAUUAGUGCAACGCCCCUUAUUAAAUGCUAUUUCUCAAAAAUCAAUAUCUAACUUGAGAUUUUCACCUAAAUUUCAUCUUAUUGAUUUUAAACAAUCCACACAAAAUUAAGCACACCAGAAUCUCACCUCUCUAGAAUUGGUUUAUGAAGGAUAAUUUAGUGGUUGUUUGAAUUUAGCAUUUAAGGUCCACUAUAUUUUUUUUUUUCAAUAUAUUCAAAUUUAGAAUCAAAUUAACUUUUUACGGUGCAAAAGUAAAUCUUGUGCCCAAAAAUAUCAAGUUUCAUAUGAACAAGCAUAAAUCAAUCAUAACAUGCAUUUUUUCAGAAUUUAUAAUCUAAUACAUGAUUUCAAAUAUGUGCAUAAUAGUAGACAGAUUUAUCUAACCAUACAAAAGUAAUAAUAAAACUGAAAAUAAUAAUUUUAUUUUUGUUGGAUUUUUUUUAUACGACCAAUCACGAAAAACAAUAAUAAAAAAAUAAACUUAUAACAGUCAUUGCUUUCAAUAUCUAAACUUAUAACAAACGUUGCUUUUUUUUCCCCAUCCUAAACUUAUAACAGACACUGCUUUCAAUAUCUAAAUAUAUAACAAGUAAUAUACAAAAAUCAAGGACAAAAAAGGAAAUUGAGUACUCCCUUGGUAUAAAUUUACAGGUUUUAAAUGGACUUCUAUAAAAGUAUUGGAUCACUUGCUAUAUCUUUUUCAUUGUCCUAUAUGUUCAGGUGUCAUAUUCCUUCAAAAUAGUAAGAGUCAAUGAACAAAUGGACACAAUUUACAAUAAGUUGCAACACAUCAUAAAGGGAAAUACAGGAAUGAAAAUACCUUAUACUAUUAAAAGUAAUAAAAACUACUAAUCCAAUAUUCUAAAAGGUAAAAUAAAAUAAAUAAAAGGGAAGAAAAUUGUGUGAUUGCCUCCCAAUAAGCGAUUGUUUUAUGGUCUUUAGCUUGACUUUAUUGUUUUAGCUAUUUAUGGUGGCGUGAAAAAAAAGAGUUUUUAGCUUUGCAUCGACACCACAAUAGUUGGUUCUAUAAGUCAUUUUUAAGCCUCCAGAUUACAAGAUUUUCAUUGUUUUCUUGUCAAACAAUUCCCCAUUCUUCCUUCUUAUUUUUGUUGCUUCCCUAAUGGUCUACCAUUCUAUAUUCUUCAAUGUCAUACGGUUUCUUGAGUGGAACAUUCAUUUUUAAGCCUUGUUAUUUUUCUUCUACCCUUAAGAUUAACGCACCUUUUCCCAAUUCAUUAAUGCACAUGCAGUUACUAAGAAUGGUCUCCCAAAAAUAAUGGCAUAUGUUGAGCAUCUAAAUCUAGGAUGAUGAAAUCAGUUGGAAAAAGAGAUUACCAACUUUGAUGAGCCAAAAAAGCUCAAGCAAUUUUUUGCUCGGAUCAUGCCCGAGCCAUAAACUUUGAUUCGUGACCCGACUUGGCUUGUUUACAUCCCAUUGCAACAUUUGGCCCCCCAAUUAGACCCAUGAGAUCACAUGGGCCAAAAUUCCAUGCAUCGCAUGGUUGGUCCUUUGAUUUACAGAAGCAAAACACUCUUAACCAUGCUAUUGCAAGACAUAUGGCCAAGCGAUCGCAUUGCUUUUUGGUUAGGAAAUAGGAUUUUUUUCCCCUUUUCCAUCUAUGAAAUAUUUUCUAUCUAGCCAGAACAUGAGUUACCUAGUUUUAUCAUAGAAUUGAGACUAGUAAGAGGUGAACAAGAGAUUCUACGACAAGAUGUAAAAUUCCAUAGUUUGAAUUGAAGAUUGAAGUGAA